rnacentral:rRNA from 1 species
GCGAGUGAAGCGGCAAAAGCUCAAAUUUGAAACCCUCGGGAUUGUAAUUUGAAGAUUUGGCAUUGGAGAAAGCUAACCCAAGUUACUUGGAAUAGUACGUCAUAGAGGGUGACAACCCCGUCUGGCUAACCGUUCUCCAUGUAUUGCCUUAUCAAAGAGUCGAGUUGUUUGGGAAUGCAGCUCAAAGUGGGUGGUAAACUCCAUCUAAAGCUAAAUACUGGUGAGAGACCGAUAGCGAACAAGUACUGUGAAGGAAAGGUGAAAAGAACUUUGAAAAGAGAGUGAAAUAGUAUGUGAAAUUGUUGAUAGGGAAGGAAAUGAGUGGAGAGUGGUUGCGGUUUCAACCAGCCCUUGGGCUGGCCUAUUGCCAACGCCGAGUCAUUGUCCGCGAGACGGGAGCUAUAAACGGGUUACAUUUAUGUUUCUCACCUACCUCCCCCACUGCAGUCAACGACAUAAUCCACCCAUUUCACCCGUCUUGAAACACGG